rnacentral:rRNA from 1 species
AUACGAAGGGGACAAGCGUUGUUCGGAAUAACUGGGCGUAAAGCGCACGUAGGCGGAAUGUUAAGUUAGAGGUGAAAUCCCAGGGCUCAACCCUGGAACGGCCUUUAAUACUGGCAAUCUAGAGACCGAGAGAGGUGAGUGGAAUUCCGAGUGUAGAGGUGAAAUUCGUAGAUAUUCGGAGGAACACCAGUGGCGAAGGCGGCUCACUGGCUCGGUACUGACGCUGAGGUGCGAAAGCGUGGGGAGCAAACAGGAUUAGAAACCCUAGUAGUCC